UUAAACUGAGACGAGCCAAAGACCUGGUGGGAACUUUUAUUUGACUCCACCAACGCACCUAACAAUCUUAACCACUCAUAAUGUCUCUCCACCGACACCAAACUCAUCUCUCUCACACUCUUCUCCGCCGUCCCUCUCCUAUGACGCCUCCUCUCCCUCCUCUCCUAUGGCGCCUCCUUCCCAUCAUCUCACCGAGCAACUGCAGCCGCGGUCAUGGUGGCGUGGAGGCCAAGUCGGGGGAUUCGGAUCGUCUAACUUCGCCCUGUGAAGGACUGGAUGCAUCAAUCGGCAGUCAUGCACCAUGCUUGCUGCGUGGAAUAUGGAACACAACUAAAAUGAGCGGAGCAAAGUAUGCAUUAUUGCAUUGGAUUCUAUAUUGAGCAUACAAAGCACGCAUUCCAUCAGGCAAUUCAUAAGUUUCAAACAACACCACUCAUUACUAAGCACAAAUUUACACUGGAGAGUCGAGCGACACCGCAAAUCAAAGAGAUUGUGAAUAGAGUAUAGGUUGACAAGAACAAAAGCAGCGCCCUAGAAUACAAUCUCCAUAGCUAAAGUAUGUAUUCAGUGCCAUCAGCAGUUGGAAAAACAGACAAAAUUAACUUAGCAAAUUUGGUACUUGGGCCCGGCAACAACAAAAAAUACUUCAGAGGCGGCUGGUGACAGCCCCGUACUGGCAGACGAGCUCCGGCCGUGCUAGUGGCCACUGGUGGCGGCAAUGACAGCGCUGAGACAUCGUCGGACUGACACUUGAGUGCGUCUUGUUGGGUUACCAUCGGCUUCAAAUAGACUUUAUCAGCAGUUAAUUAAGUGCAUGCGUCACACGAGCCGUUGGAUUGCAUGGAUGGUGGAUAAGUGCGACAUCACACUCGUGCCUUCACGGGUGAAGUUAGACGAUCCGAAUCCCAAGUCAGGGCAGUUUGCACUGUCCCACCCACUGCAGUCCGGGCUCUUCCUCCACCGCCGGCGCCGCAAGAUGCAAGGCGGCCGUCGGGGUCUCUGGAGAUCUCCUACUCAAGACCCCUUGCUGUGCAAGGUAUGGGAUUUUUCCCCUUUUUGUGCCUGUGAUUGGUUUCUUGCAUGGUUUCCUCAAGGGACUGAUUUCAUUGAGAUGGGAUUGGGUGUAGUUGGCAAAUUGGAACGUGGUGCAUCGCGGAUGGCGAAUACAUGAUGUGCGUGUUCUGCAGUGAGGAUUUUUUUUUUCAUGUUGAAGUUAAGGAUUUAGGGGAUUAUUCGUGUGGGGUUGAUCUUGAUUUGUUGAUUUGGGUGAUUGUUGAUUCUGCAUGUUCUUAAUCUGAUGUUGGGAUUAGGGCAAUGGAUGUUCAUUCUUGGUCUGAUUUUGGGAAAUUGGUUUGGGCUGGUCGAAGCAUUGGCUCAUAGAGCCAAUGCUACGAGCCAACUUCUCCUCUUUUUCUAAUCGUGGGGAGAAUAAAGGUGCCGGUUCUACCACCAGCUCCAAUGACUCAAGGGUAUUAGUGCCGGCUGCAAAUCGACACCUAUGUUGGGUUUGCAACAGGCAUCUAAGAGGGGUUCUGCAGCAGUGAGCAGCGGGCACGAGGAGGCAGGGAGAUUGGUGGCAUGGAUGCUAAGGUAGAGGAUCUAGCAAGUAACAAGUCAUGAUGUCUAGCCCAUCUGGCCCAACCUAACUGAGCCGCAUGUCAUCCGCAAUCCCGUUCAGGACCAAAUAUUAUGGGCCACAUAUCAGCCACAAGUGCAUUCCAUCCCACCUGACAAUGGUGACAGCUAGCUAAACUCUCUUUUGGGGUGAAAUAUUUGAGGUACAUGAGGGUGUACAUAGCCAACAAGAUAAAACAAGGAAUGGUUCCUUGUAAUUCAGAUGUUCCUAUGCCCUUUUUCGCUAGCUACUUGCAACAGAAUGUUUCUUCAGUGUGCCCAAGUUCAAUAACAUCCAAGUUAUUAUGGACUU